UAGUCCACGCCGUAAACGAUGGAUGCUAGCAGUAUGGGGUAUCGACCCCCUGUGUUGCGAAGCUAACGCGUUAAGCAUCCCGCCUGGGGAGUACGGUCGCAAGAUUAAAACUCAAAGGAAUUGACGGGGACCCGCACAAGCGGUGGAGCGUGUUGUUUAAUUGGAUGCUAAGCCAAGAACCUUACCAAGGUUUGACUUCCUGCGAAGGACUACGAAAGUAGACUGUGCCUUUUGGAACGCAGUGACAGGUGAUGCAUGGCCGUCGUCAGCUCGUGUCGUGAGAUGUUGGGUUAAGUCCCGCAACGAGCGCAACCCUUGUGGUUAGUUGUAUUUUUUCUAGCCAGACUGCCUCGGUAACGGGGAGGAAGGAGGGGAUGAUGUCAGGGUCCUCAUUUCCCUUACACCUUGGGGCCACAAACGCGCUACAAUGGCCGGUACAAAGGGGCAGCUAAGUCGCAAGACGGAGCAAAUCCCAUCAAAGCCGGUCCCAGUUCGGGAUAGCAGGGCUGAAACUCGCCUGCUUGAAGUCGGGAA
rnacentral:rRNA from 1 species